rnacentral:rRNA from 1 species
UUUCCGGUUGAUCCUGCCGGAGGUUACUGCUAUCGGUGUUCGACUAAGCCAUGCAAGUCAUAUGUUCCUCGUGAACAUGGCAUACUGCUCAGUAACACGUGGAUAACCUGCCCUUGGGUCUGGGAUAACCCCGGGAAACUGGGGAUAAUACCGGAUGACGCAUAUGUGCUGGAAUGCUUUAUGCGUAAAACGGAUUCGUCCGCCCAAGGAUGGGUCUGCGGCCUAUCAGGUAGUAGUGGGUGUAAUGUACCUACUAGCCAACAACGGGUACGGGUUGUGAGAGCAAGAGCCCGGAGAUGGAUUCUGAGACAUGAAUCCAGGCCCUACGGGGCGCAGCAGGCGCGAAAACUUUACAAUGCGGGAAACCGUGAUAAGGGAACACCGAGUGCCAGCACCAUAUGCUGGCUGUCCAGAUGUGUAAACUACAUCUGUUAGCAAGGGCCGGGCAAGACCGGUGCCAGCCGCCGCGGUAACACCGGCGGCCCGAGUGGUGACCGUUAUUAUUGGGUCUAAAGGGUCCGUAGCCGGUUUGGUCAGUCCUCUGGGAAAUCUGAUAGCUUAACUGUUAGGCUUUCGGGGGAUACUGCCAGGCUUGGAACCGGGAGAGGUAAGAGGUACUACAGGGGUAGGAGUGAAAUCUUGUAAUCCCUGUGAGACCACCUGUGGCGAAGGCGUCUUACCAGAACGGGUUCGACGGUGAGGGACGAAAGCUGGGGGCACGAACCGGGAUUA